UGCCAUCCCCUCUCGGCGGCCGAGCGGAGCGCCGGCGGCUGGCGUCACUUGUCCCCCCAGUUGUUCUGGGGAAACUGAGGCUCACGCAGCCUGGCCACUGGCCAGGACGCGGCUGGGGGCAAACGUUUCUUUGGGCGGUUUGGCAGGGAUGUGUCUGCGCACUGGAAAGCAAACCCCAGACCCACGUACCCGCCCCCACGGCCCUCCAGCCCCCGGAGCUGGGGGAACAGGAGGCGGCGGAGGGGACCAGGUGGCCUGCAGCCCGGGCUUGAGUACCGGUCAAGCAGGGCCCCUCCUGGUGCCUCGGGCUCCCCUCUGCGAGGCGCGCACGACAGCGCUGGAGGACACACUGCCCCCGACUCUCGCUGUCGGUCUCCUGCGCCGCGUGGGUUGCGGCCCCGAGGCCCAAACCUCCGCGUCUUCGCCGGGCCCUGACGUCGCGCUGACGCCACCAGGCCCCCUCCCCGCGGGGUCCGGCAGCCCAGAGUGGUUAACUCUUCCGCUGCCACGCGAGACCCCCAGGGUCCUUUCUCCCUCCACUCGCUCCCUGCCCGGAGAGGGUCCAGGCUGGGCCCCGACGUCGGAGUGUCCUGGACGGACCUGGAAGACAGGCCCUUAGCCCGGGCUGUUCCCUUCGCCUGGAAUGCGGCUCCAGUCCCAGGUCAAGCCCGUGUUUACUGGGACAUCGCUCCCUCCCGCCGGGCCCUGACCCCUCCGAGGCUGGGCGUGACCGCGUCUGGCUGGAUCUCCCGGCCCGGGGUGGGGCCUCUCCUCAGCCACUUGCUGUUUCAAGCUCUAGGAGGGCUGGGGGCUGAAGAGCUGGGCCCAGAAUGCCCAGCGCAGGCGCACCAGGGACUGUCCAAUGAGCCAACCAUGAUGCCCCCAACCCAAAUCCAACCGACUCCUCAAGGUGAUCUAGUAACAGUGGAUUCCUGAUCUUCUGACCAACACCUACGCACACCUGCUGGACCCCAACAUCGGAACCUGUGAAAGGACCUAACUCCACUGGUGCAUACAGCAGGUGCACAUUCAGUGCACACUGGGGGAACGCAGGCACUGCUCCUAGGAGCUCUUUCCUUCAGGUGCUAGAGACCUAAGGCUGGAGUCCUUCAGCCCCUUCACAAACACUGAUCUGCGCCACUCCUUGAGGCCUUUGAGGAGGCUAGGGGCACCAGUCUCAGGGACAACUGGACUCUGUUGUCAUCAAUGCGGGAUGUGCCAGGUUCAAUCAAUGUCCAGGGACCUGUUGCGCCCGCUGCCUUAUUUGUAAUAUGGCCUUCUGAGGCUGAAGGAGCCGGUGCCACCCAAAGGGCAGAAGCUGGGUCCCCUCCAUAGGGCUAGUCAAACACCUGCACAGGGACGGGACAGGACGGCGGUUGCGGCUCCAGGGGAGGGCGGAAGUGGGGCAGUGGCGAGGGGGGAGCCGCAGCCCUCCGCGGUAACCUGAUCCUCAGGAAUGCGCCGAGGCCAGACGCGCCCCCAGCCCCAGGCCGCGGCCCCUCCCCCAGCCACCCCGCGGGAUCCUGCCACCUGGGGGACUGUUCUCCGUCCCCAAGCCCUGCCCCCACUAGCCAGUUUGUUUUCUGGGCAGAGUUACCCUGUCCCAGCCCUCCAGGGUCCUGAGCUCUGGGGGACCAUCCCCAGCAAGCCCCGCCCCCAGGAGGCCCCCUAGCCUUAUCCCCCUUCUGCUCCUCUAACUCCUAUUCUUUCCUCUCCCGGGGACUUUCUGUUUUAUCAAGUUGAUGGUAGGUCCCUGGGUGUUGAAUAAAGACUGAAAAUUCAGCCCAGUGGCAGAUCACUCUAAA